UACGGGGGGGAGCAAGCGUUGUUCGGAUUUACUGGGCGUAAAGGGCGCGUAGGCGGUAGCACAAGUCAGUUGUGAAAUCUCCGGGCUUAACUCGGAAAGGUCAACUGAUACUGUGCGACUAGAGUGCAGAAGGGGCAACUGGAAUUCUCGGUGUAGCGGUGAAAUGCGUAGAUAUCGAGAGGAACACCGGUGGCGAAGGCGGUUCUCUGGGCCUUACCUGACGCUGAGGAGCGAAAGCGUGGGGAGCGAACAGG
rnacentral:rRNA from 1 species